rnacentral:rRNA from 1 species
UACGUAGGGGGCUAGCGUUGUCCGGAAUCAUUGGGCGUAAAGCGCGUGUAGGCGGUCCGGUAAGUCCGCUGUGAAAGUCGGGGGCUCAACCCUCGAAUGCCGGUGGAUACUGUCGGGCUAGAGUGCGGAAGAGGCGAGUGGAAUUCCUGGUGUAGCGGUGAAAUGCGCAGAUAUCGGGAGGAACACCAGUAGCGAAGGCGGCACUCUGGGCCGGUACUGACGCUGAGGAGCGAAAGCGUGGGGAGCGAACAGG